rnacentral:rRNA from 1 species
CCUGGUGUCCAUAGCGAGAGGGAAACGCCUGAUCCCAUUCCGAACUCAGAAGCUAAGCCUCUUUGCGCCGAUGGUACUGCAGGGUUCCCUGUGGGAGAGUAGGUAGAUGCCAGGA